rnacentral:lncRNA from 1 species
AGGCAUCGGCCCUCUUCUCAAAUUCAAUAAGUGCUGUGGGUUUGCCUAUUGUUCCAGUUCUAGCUGUGAUCUUCUUCCAUGACAAAAUGGAUGGGAUAAAGGCAAUGUCCAUGGUUUUGGCUAUUUGGGGAUUCAUUUCAUAUGUUUAUCAGCACUACCUCGAUGAUCGUAAGUCCAAGAGUGAGAAGAAAGCUGCCAAUGAUGAAGUUUCUAAAGCUUUCUCUCUGGAAACAUAAAUGGUUGAACAAUCAACCUUGUAUACAUGAACUUGAUUCUAGUCUUAUGCAAAAGAAUGAGAUAAAGAUUUCACUUACAUUAAUGAGGUCAAUAUUUACUAAUUUACAUGCUGACUAGUUAUGAUAAAUAGAUGCAUGUCCUGGUAAAACCGUAAAAGUCCAUUGUUUUCUACUUGAAUGUUCCUUAUAGGGAAUCAAACAUGUUUUAAAGUUAUAACUUUGUAGGCAGAAAGUGGCUGAUUGUGAUGGCCAGAUGUUUUUCAGAAAUUGUUUAAAAUGAUGCAGGGCCUCAAAUCAAUCCAUGGAUCUCCAUGAUCACCUGCAACAAUAUCAGGCAUUUCAUACUCCAUAUAGCUAGCAUGGUCAUUCCAAACUAUCCCAUGCUCAACUUCAUGCUGAUAACUGCCAUCUAUGUUUUGGUAAGAGAAUCCUAUUUAACCAUUAAACUUUUUCAAGCAGACACUGCAUACUAAUUCUCACCUUCUGCUGUUCUAUUGACUUGAUUCUACAGGUAUCUCAUAGGCUUUUUGAGUUAACGAAUACGCUCAAGACAGUCUUUGUAUAAUUUUCUUGCUGGGGCAGCCAUUUUUACUUCUUUGUACUUCAUUUCAUUCAUUAUUGUUCAGAUACCUCAUUGACCAGUAAGCACCUUUCUGCUGUAUGCUCAGUCUAAUGUUCCAUAGUUUACAUUUGGUAACCAGUUGUUACUGUUGCAGGCUUUACAAAUCAAGACCCAAACGAGGGUUAUACAGAUGCUUCCUGUUGGAUGUGCAAAUAUAGAAAGAAUUGAAUAAAGGGAGCUGGGAGUGUCAGUGGCAACUGUAGCCUGAAAAAUGUGGUUCCACCAGUUUUCAAGCAGAAAGGCACUCCAUAGCUGUGUGAAAACCGAAUACCAGUAGAGUUCCCCAUGAGAAGUUUAGAUGGGGGAAGGAAGCAGGGAGCAGUAGGAAAAUUCUUUUGAAAUAUUGUGGAUUGUUGUGUAUCUUCAUUUUUUCUUUACCCCCCAGUUUUGCUAAAUCAUUGAAGAAAAAUGUAGAUCUCUGUGACAUAGUUAGCUUCGUUUGCUGUUAUAAAACAAGUUCAUAUUCAAUGAAUCAAUGGAAAGGAAAUAGUUGAAAUACCCUAUAUAUUAUAGUGCAAUUCUGUUCUGAAUCUUUGUAAGGCAUCUCUGCCGAUGAUUAGUCGUUAAAAGAAAUGUACAUUUGAUAAAUAUUUGUCGAAAGACUUAAUUCGGUGAAGGCUUGGGACACAAGUUUCUUGGGCCCAAACUCAGACCCGUUGUGGGAUUAAUAUAUCAACACGCCCACGCACGUGUGAUGAAUUUUUAAACCUAACACGUUGACAACAUUUAGGGUGACAUGGAGUUUGUGUGACCAUUGGGCUUUACACGUGGACGUGGGUAACCCGCUCUGAUACCAUAAUAAAGUAGUCUGGGGUUCAUAUCCAAAACCAAUUGGCAAUAAAUGGAGUGGCCCAAACCCUUAUUAACUCACAUGCAAGGUCUCAUAUUCCCGAUGUGAAAUUAAUAUCUCAACAUACAGGCAUCUUGUGUCAUGUAGGAGAAUCCUAACAACAAUUGUACUAAUGUGUUGUUGCACGCUCUUCAUGCCACACCAUAUAUAUUCUCUUGCGUAUUCAGAUGUAUAUCUUCCGAUUUGUUAUUUCACACUUUCCAUACUUGGCCUAAAACUCCAAUAAUUGAAGAUAUUCUCCAACAAUCCCCUGAAAUUUCAAUCAUUUCAGGAUAGGAAGAGAUUGGUUGUUAAUCCUUGUGAACCAUUUUUUCUUUUUGACAAAGACGUUAAAAGAACUUUCACAGUAGCUUACAAACAGUAAAACCAUGAAUCAAACUUGCAAAAUGCAAAUGAUAAUGAAAGAAGGUAAACGAAUAGCUAAUCAGUAAGUGGUGGGGAUCUUAGUCAUUGGCACCGGAUGUCCCACGUAUAAAUCAACGAAGGUCGACACUCACACCGUUAUGGCCCUUCCCAGACAAUGAGGGCGAUAGUUAUCUAAUCUACAGCCGACCCCCAAGAGGUUGAAUCUCAUCUCAGACAAAAGGAGAAGAUCAAAUCCAAGAGUCUCAUUCAUAAAUCAUUUGUCAUAUUAAAUUUUGCUGCAACUUUGGCUGAGAGACUUAAAUACCAAGCAGCCAUAGUAGACUGAGAGAAUAAUACACCGAUGGAAACUCCAAUCACUUGCUCUUUGCCCCAAAUGAAAAAAAAAAAAAAAAAACUACCAACACUUGCUCCAUCUCUCUUAUAUAUGUGUGUGUGUGUCUAUUGUUCUCUACGUUGUUUCUUCCAUUUCGUGAUAGAUAUGACCUCCCACAUGUACACGACACAAUUUCAUGUGUCUCUCUCUCUCUCUCUCUCUCUCUCUCUCUCUCUCUCUCUGUUUGAAAGUUUGUUCUUCACCUUUUGACAUGGGAGAGGUAGAAGCUCAAGAACUGCAGCUGAGCAUCAAGGGUAUGUCAACUAGUUCAUUUACUUACUGGCCUUUAAAUUUUCACUGCAUGCUGCAAUUCUAGAAUCUAUGGAGACUGAUAUGAAGCCAAUCCCAACUACUAGUACUAGCUAUGGAAACUGCUGCUUUUCUCUGAACAAUCUUUUAUUCUGCAUAUAUUAGUCUUAAAAUUUAGGUGCAGAUGGAGAAGAGUCAGAGUUUGAGCUUUACUGUUAUCAGAUCAAAGUCGAAAGAAGUUCUAAAGCUAUAACUAGCGUGGUAGAGAAAAAAAUAUAUAUUACUGAUCAUCAUGAGUUCCCCUACUGAUCCUUGGAUAUUUGUUUCAUUGUUUGUACUACCAGUUCAAGAAGCAAAUGAAGCAAACUCCCAACCAGAUGUUCCUAAUAACCAGCUGCCUCGGAGCAGAGGUUUCAACUGGUGGCUUAGAAUAUCGAUUUACACAGUCUUUGUCCUUGCUGGCCAGGCAAUUGCAACACUCUUGGGAAGACAGUACUAUGAAAAAGGUGGAAGCAGCAACUGGCUUGCAACACUAGUACAGCUUUGUGGCUUUCCUAUCCUCCUUCCCUUUUAUUUCAUUCCAGCAUUAAACAAAAACUGUCCAACCACAAAUAGUACUACAUCAUUCGAGUCAAAGCCACCGUCUACAUUAGUCCUAGCAUCAAUUUAUGCCUCUCUUGGCCUUCUUAUAGCUGGAGACUGCUUCUUGUAUUCAGUAGGAUUAUCUUACCUUCCUGUAUCUACUUACUCCCUCAUCUGCGCAUCCCAACUCGCUUUCAAUGCACUUUUCUCCUUCGUCCUCAACUCGCAGAAGUUCACUCCUUACAUUGUCAACUCUCUUGUUGUCCUGACUAUCUCAUCCAGCCUCCUAGUGCUUCAAGGAGACGACUCUGCUGACUCGAGUAAAGUUUCCAGGCCAAAGUACAUAAUAGGCUUCUUCUGCACAGUUGGAGCAUCAGCUGGAUAUGCAUUACAGCUUUCCCUAACGCAGCUAAUCUUCAUAAAGGUUAUAAAGAAAGAGACAUUUAGAGUGAUCAUGGAUAUGAUUGUAUAUCAAUCAGUCUAUUCAUCCGCUAUUAUCUUGGUGGGAUUUUUUGCUAGUGGAGACUGGAAGGGUAUAAAGAAUGAGAUGGAGGGGUUUGAGUUAGGGAAGGUGUCAUAUAUUAUGAAUUUAACAUGGACAGCUAUAGUGUGGCAGCUCUUUUCCAUAGGAAUGGUGGGGUUAGUAUUUGAGGCAUCGGCCCUCUUCUCAAAUUCAAUAAGUGCUGUGGGUUUGCCUAUUGUUCCAGUUCUAGCUGUGAUCUUCUUCCAUGACAAAAUGGAUGGGAUAAAGGCAAUGUCCAUGGUUUUGGCUAUUUGGGGAUUCAUUUCAUAUGUUUAUCAGCACUACCUCGAUGAUCGUAAGUCCAAGAGUGAGAAGAAAGCUGCCAAUGAUGAAGUUUCUAAAGCUUUCUCUCUGGAAACACAAAUGGUUGAACAAUCAGCCUUGUAUACAUGAACUUGAUUCUAGUCUUAUGCAAAAGAAUGAGAUAAAGAUUU